rnacentral:rRNA from 1 species
CCUACGGGCGGCAGCAGUGAGGAAUCUUUGUCAAUGGACGAGAGUCUGAACCAGCCAAGUAGCGUGAAGGAUGACUGCCCUAUGGGUUGUAAACUUCUUUUAUAUGGGAAUAAAAUGUUCCACGUGUGGGGUUUUGUAUGUACCAUAUUAAUAAGGAUCGGCUAACUCCGUGCCAGCAGACGCGGUAAUACGGAGGAUCCGAGCGUUAUCCGGUUUUAUUGGGUUUAAAGGGAGCGUAGGUGGAUUGUUAAGUCAGUUGUGAAAGUUUGCGGCUCAACCGUAAAAUUGCAGUUGAAACUGGCAGUCUUGAGUACAGUAGAGGUGGGCGGAAUUCGAGGUGUAGCGGUGAAAUGCUUAGAUAUCACGAAGAACUCCGAUUGCGAAGGCAGCUCACUGGACUGCAACUGACACUGAGGCUCGAAAGUGUGGGUAUCAAACAGGAUUAGAUACCCCAGUAGUC